GGAUGUGAGGGAGAUCUGGCUGUGAUAUCAAUCACCCUACUGCGUGCCAGGGUUGAUUCGGCUGAUCUGGCUGGCUAGGCCAGUGUCCCCUUCCUCCCUCACUGCUCCAUGUGUAUUCCUCCCAAAGCUGCAUGCUCAGUCCAACAGGACGACCAUCUCCGCUAGCGAAGGGUCCAAAUGAAAUGAUGUCUCUAAGUACUCUCAACUUCAUGUGGUGGCUGUUCUAAGCAAACAUGGUCAUGAAUAUAAUUUCAAUGCAAACUUUGAGUUGUUUGUCUUU
rnacentral:snRNA from 1 species